rnacentral:rRNA from 1 species
AAAUUGAAGAGUUUGAUCAUGGCUCAGAUUGAACGCUGGCGGCAGGCCUAACACAUGCAAGUCGAGCGGAAACGAGUUAUCUGAACCUUCGGGGGACGAUAAYGGCGUCGAGCGGCGGACGGGUGAGUAAUGCCUAGGAAAUUGCCCUGAUGUGGGGGAUAACCAUUGGAAACGAUGGCUAAUACCGCAUGAUGCCUACGGGCCAAAGAGGGGGACCUUCGGGCCUCUCGCGUCAGGAUAUGCC